AUUGAACGCUGGCGGCAUGCUUUACACAUGCAAGUCGAACGGUAACAGGCCUUCGGGUGCUGACGAGUGGCGAACGGGUGAGUAAUGCAUCGGAACGUACCCAGAGGUGGGGGAUAACGCAGCGAAAGCUGUGCUAAUACCGCAUGUGAUCUGAGGAUGAAAGCGGGGGACCGAGCAGCAAUGUUUGGCCUCGCGCCUUUGGAGCGGCCGAUGUCGGAUUAGCUAGUUGGUGGGGUAAAGGCCUACCAAGGCGACGGUCCGUAGCUGGUCUGAGAGGACGACCAGCCACACUGGGACUGAGACACGGCCCAGACUCCUACGGGAGGCAGCAGUGGGGAAUUUUGGACAAUGGGCGCAAGCCUGAUCCAGCAAUGCCGCGUGCGGGAAGAAGGCCUUCGGGUUGUAAACCGCUUUUGGCAGGAACGAAACGGUGUCCGCUAAUACCGGGCGCUAAUGACGGUACCUGCAGAAUAAGCACCGGCUAACUACGUG
rnacentral:rRNA from 1 species